rnacentral:tRNA from 1 species
GGCCGGUUGGUCAAGCGGUUAAGACACCGCCCUUUCACGGCGGUAACACGGGUUCGAAUCCCGUACGGGUCA